GCCUGGGUGGCUCAGUCGGUUAAGCGUCUGACUUCGGCUCAGGUCAUGAUCUCAUGGUCCGUGAGUUCGAGCCCCGUGUCAGGCU
rnacentral:tRNA from 1 species